rnacentral:rRNA from 1 species
GAGUUUGAUCUUGGCUCAGAUUGAACGCUGGCGGCAUGCUUUACACAUGCAAGUCGAACGGUAACGCGGGGGCAACCCUGGCGACGAGUGGCGAACGGGUGAGUAAUACAUCGGAACGUGUCCUGGAGUGGGGGAGUAGCUCGGCGAAAGCCGGAUUAAUACCGCAUACGCUCUGAGGAGGAAAGCGGGGGACCGUUCGGGCCUCGCGCUGCGGGAGCGGCCGAUGUCGGAUUAGCUAGUUGGUGGGGUAAAAGGCCUACCAAGGCGACGAUCCGUAGCUGGUCUGAGAGGAUGAUCAGCCACACUGGGACUGAGACACGGCCCAGACUCCUACGGGAGGCAGCAGUGGGGAAUUUUGGACAAUGGGGGCAACCCUGAUCCAGCC